rnacentral:rRNA from 1 species
AAAUUGAAGAGUUUGAUCAUGGCUCAGAUUGAACGCUGGCGGCAGGCCUAACACAUGCAAGUCGAGCGGAAACGACAACAUUGAAUCUUCGGAGGAUUUGUUGGGCGUCGAGCGGCGGACGGGUGAGUAAUGCCUAGGAAAUUGCCUUGAUGUGGGGGAUAACCAUUGGAAACGAUGGCUAAUACCGCAUAA